GUGGAAAAUGUUCCUAUGGACUGCAUUAACAUUAACUCUUAUCAAUUAAAAGGGAAAAGCCAAAGAAAAGAGAAAUAGCCAAAAUGGCAGGCAUAAAAGAAAAUCAUGAAGAAAAAAAAUUAGGUUAAUUAUAGAAUAUUUCAGAUUUACUAAAAAAUAGUAAAUCUUCCAUUCUUAAAAUUUUUAUUACUCUGUAAAUUAUGGAUUCUAAGUCCGGAGGGUGUGCUUCAAGUGCAUGAAAUAAUUUUUUGUAUGGUGCAUUCAGUAUAUAUGUAUGUUAUUUUACAACCAUAUGGAUCCAUUAUCUACAUAGCAAAG
rnacentral:misc_RNA from 1 species